rnacentral:lncRNA from 1 species
GUAGAAACAGAACUCGGAACCCUGGGGUCACUGGGCACCACAGUCCAGCGACAGCUGCCUAACAGCCACUUGGCUGGAGAGAGUCAGCAGUGAUCAUGCUGUGCUGCUUUCCCAGACCUCGAGGCCGCAGCAGCAGGACCCUGCACAGGGAAAGCACUUGGGCGUGAGUGAGAGGAUGGAUGGCUAAGUCCCCAUGCUUCAGGCCACUCACCAAGAACUGCCUGGCCUUCAGGGGCAGCACAGGGUGGGUCUCACCAGACCCAGAGACCUGGGGACCUGAGAUGAGCGGGAGCCCAGGGCAGAUCUCCCUGGACCUGGACACCAGACACUCGGGGCCACCGAGUCCAGGACAGGUCCAGUCAGGCCCGGCCACCAUUGCCCUCCACUUCUUGGUGGAGCUACACUUCCAGGUGAAUCCACCAGCUGAACUCCUGGCCCAACUGGAGCAAGCUUAGCCCACUGAGGCACAGCCCACGGGACCAGCUCGAGCCCCAGCUGAAGUCCCAUGUGUGGAGCCCGAGCCAGCUCCACCUACAGCUUCCUGCCCAGCGCUGGGACCACAGCCAGAGUCUGUGGAAGCCUCUUCACCUGCUGCAGUGCUGGGGCACCAGGGUGGAAGCCUGGCAGCAGAG